rnacentral:rRNA from 1 species
GAUGAACGCUGGCGGCGCGCCUAACACAUGCAAGUCGAACGGCACCCCUCCUCGGAGGGAAGCGAGUGGCGAACGGCUGAGUAACACGUGGAGAACCUGCCCCCUCCCCCGGGAUAGCCGCCCGAAAGGACGGGUAAUACCGGAUACCCCGGGGUGCCGCAUGGCACCCCGGCUAAAGCCCCGACGGGAGGGGAUGGCUCCGCGGCCCAUCAGGUAGACGGCGGGGUGACGGCCCACCGUGCCGACAACGGGUAGCCGGGUUGAGAGACCGACCGGCCAGAUUGGGACUGAGACACGGCCCAGACUCCUACGGGAGGCAGCAGUGGGGAAUCUUGCGCAAUGGGGGGAACCCUGACGCAGCGACGCCGCGUGCGGGACGGAGGCCUUCGGGUCGUAAACCGCUUUCAGCAGGGAAGAGUCAAGACUAUACCUGCAGAAGAAGCCCCGGCUAACUACGUG